CCCGUCCGGGGCGGGAGUCAGUGGGCGAACGGGUGAGUAACACGUGGGUAACCUGCCCUGAACUCUGGGAUAACUCCGGGAAACCGGGGCUAAUACCGGAUACGACCUUCGAAGGCAUCUUCGCGGGUGGAAAGUUUUUCGGUUCAGGAUGGACCCGCGGCCUAUCAGCUUGUUGGUGGGGUAAUGGCCUACCAAGGCUUUGACGGGUAGCCGGCCUGAGAGGGCGACCGGCCACACUGGGACUGAGACACGGCCCAG
rnacentral:rRNA from 1 species